rnacentral:piRNA from 1 species
UGCAAGUGUUCGGGUUGCUAACUGCAGA